rnacentral:lncRNA from 1 species
GUGGUUCUAUAGCAGGCACUCCAAUUCACCACCAGCAGUAGCACCUCCACUUUUCGUCACUUGUAUUUGUGAGCACCUUUCCCCUUCGGGCCCUGCGUGGCACAUGACGCUGUUCUUCAUGCAGUCUUAUUUGGCGUGGCAUAUGCCGUUGUUGGGUGAGAUCACGCUGUUCACUCUCUUCUUCACAUCUCAAUCGUGUCCAAACUCGCCAAUUCCAGGCGUGUGAGAUCAAUUUCACCUCACUCGCACCUUAUCUCUCCACAUCAGCAAGAUUCUAACGGCUUCUGACCGAUUUUCGUCUCUCAUGUGCUUUUUUCAGAAUGAAUUCCGAAAAAAGGAACCGUGGAUUGAUUUUGAAUCGAUCCCCUCUCUCCAUCUGUCCGAAUUCAUUUUAGAGGGGAAUAUUUUCGGAUCUUCGAGGAAGCUUCUAGGUUUGGGGUAUAAAAGGGGUGCGCUGAAUUGAUUUGAGAGGGUUUUUUUGAGAGAUUUUUCUAUUUUGGCAGAAAGGAGAAUGUUAAAAAGAAAGUGAUUAUUCUUCUUCUUGGUUUCUAAUCAGGUUUGAGUUUUUUUUGUUGGAGAAUCACAGAAAGAUACAUAUUCAAAAAUGUUCUUAAAGUUGUUUUCAUUUUCGAUUAUUGUUCAGAAAAAGGGAAAAAAAUCAAAAGAUAUUUCGUAUCUUCUUUCUGGGCUGGAAUUCAUUUGAAAAUGGGGCUCGACUGAAAGCUGUUGAGUUCGUUAUUGCCCGAGAUUUGGAUUCCUACUCGUCUCCAUUACUGAUUGUGCUGAUAUUAGCUAUUGUCCUCCAUUUGUAUUCAACAUUCGAGCAAAGUUAAUCACAAUUUUUUACUGAUUCAGGUUCAUUACCCAUCUCUUGUAUCCUAUCUUUGUGGUUUUGGUUAGAAAUGUAUUGAGAGCUUGACUCCAGUUAUUUUGGAACUGUUUUAACUCUUGAUGCCUGUUGGUCGUGAUGUAUUUUCCUGCCACUUUUACGAGUAUUUUAGGUUUGUUAGUUUGGCGAGUUGUUUGCGAUUUGAGUGCAAGGGUCGAUAAGUGACUGAUCUGAGUACAUUAUCUGGUUUAUUUGACCUUGUUUCAAUAUUUUUGAGGUUAUGUUUGA